UACGAAGGGGGCUAGCGUUGCUCGGAAUCACUGGGCGUAAAGCGCACGUAGGCGGCUUCUUAAGUCAGGGGUGAAAUCCUGGAGCUCAACUCCAGAACUGCCUUUGAUACUGAGGAGCUUGAGUCCGGGAGAGGUGAGUGGAACUGCGAGUGUAGAGGUGAAAUUCGUAGAUAUUCGCAAGAACACCAGUGGCGAAGGCGGCUCACUGCCCGGUACGUGACGCUGACUGCGCGAAAGCGUGGGGAGCAAACGGGGAUUAAGAAACCCCGUG
rnacentral:rRNA from 1 species